CAAUAGCGUAUAUUAAAGUUGUUGCAGUUAAAAAGCUCGUAGUUGGACUUGUGGCGUACGGUGUGUUCCGGGCACUUGUUGUCUGAGUAACCUGCUGUUGCCAUCCUUGGGUGGAACCUGUGUGGCACUAGGUUGUCGUGCAGGGGAUGCCCAUCAUUUACUGUGAAAAAAUUAGAGUGUUCAAAGCAGGCUUAUGCCGUUGAAUAUAUUAGCAUGGAAUAAUGAGAUAGGACUUUUUUGCUAUUUUGUCGGUUUGCGCAAAGAGGUAAUGAUUAAUAGGGACAGUUGGGGGUAUUCGUAUUCCAUUGUCAGAGGUGAAAUUCUUGGAUUUUUGGAAGACGAACUACUGCGAAAGCAUUUACCAAGGAUGUAUUCAUUAA
rnacentral:rRNA from 1 species